GAGGACAAACUAAUAAUCACCAGCAACAAGGAAAACAAUUAUUUAAUUUCAAGGUGUGACAUCCACAACAGAAGAUUUUGCAGCUGAUAACCAAAACAAGGGUGUUUUCCUUGCACCGGGAAGUUUAGGAAGCUGUAUAAAAGGGUUUGCAAACCAGUGUUCUUUACUCGCUUCUCCUGAUUUACUCUCCCUGUAAGCCAGCAAACUUGCUGAAUCACAGCGAAGAAUUUUUCCCACAUGUCCCUACCCUCGUCUGCAUGAAAAGUUUUUCACAAUUGAUGAGAAGUGGCACUCUUCCCCAAAACAAGGCCUGUGUUUCCCAGUUUCAAUUCGCCUCCAGCACAGCAAGAUGUUUGACAGCCUGGACAUGAUCGAAGACCUGCAUUACCCGGGCCAGUCUGACUGUCUUCCCUACCAGCGUAGAAGGCCACCAUACACGUGUUGUUGCUAUGACUGCUGGGGAAGGCUGGUUUGGAAAGGUUGCUGCUGGUCCGUACCCCCCUGGUGGUGCCGUCAGGGUGGCUCUGGAAAGGGCUGGCCAUGCUAAAUGCAGCUAGAAUAUCCACGAAAAGCAAGAUACAGAUUCACGACUGACCCGAAGGACAUGGCUUGGAGCAGUGCUAAACACUCAGCACCUCUGUUGCGAUUGGUUUCACAUUGCUAGAAGACUCCCCGCACGUACAAGUGUUUCCUACACUUUGCUUUCUCACUCUAGGAACUUUGAAUUGUCUGUGCUGUCAAGCAUUGAGACCUCUUCAUGCUGUGCUGUCAUUUAAAAGCAAGCCUCUGCUUCCUUAGAGUCCAUAUGCAACCCAUUGCAGACCACAUGACACAGCCACAGUUAUUAGAAGGGUUUGUUUUGUCAACGGGAAGGAGAAGCAUGUCUAUCCUUUGCUUCUAACUUGAAACUUGGCUGCAGAAUCUGCAUCAAGGGGAAGCUACUUAUUCCCCUCUUUACCUGGUGCUUUUCCUCAUGUGACAUUAUUCCAGGAGAAAAGCAGUAAAUAAAUAGAUUGAAGCAGCUAGGUAGUCAAAGUCAGAAGCUGCAAAGAAAGCAGCACACCUUGUACAAAAUGGGCCAUGUGUAGUAUUCUGGUGGUGGCCCUUUGGCCAAUCUUGGCAAUAUUGGUUCUCUCCUCUGGAUCCAUUCUGUGUCUGUAUACUUCAUUUUUUCUAUGCAUUAAAAUUCCUCUGCAGCAUAA